rnacentral:snRNA from 1 species
UUCAAAUGAGAACUUUGAAG